rnacentral:rRNA from 1 species
UACGAAGGGUGCAAACGUUGCUCGGAAUUAUUGGGCGUAAAGCGCACGUAGGCGGCUUUGCAAGUCCCAUGUGAAAUCCCACGGCUUAACCGUGGAAGUGCAUGGGAAACUGCAGAGCUUGAGUACUUAAGAGGAUCGCGGAAUUCCCGGUGUAGAGGUGAAAUUCGUAGAUAUCGGGAGGAACACCAGUGGCGAAGGCGGGUUGCUGGGCCGACACUGACGCUGAAGCGCGAAAGCCAGGGGAGCGAACGGG